CAGAGAUGGCUGAGCUGGUCUAAGGCGCACGACUGGAAAUCGUGUAUACGGGGAACCGUAUCGAGGGUUCGAAUCCCUCUCUCUGC
rnacentral:tRNA from 1 species